CCCGGACAUGAACCUGCAUAUAUUCAGGACAUACAAUCAGCACGUAUGUGUCCUGUUUGGUUCAUUUUAUUUUAUUUUACUUUGUCAGCUUGACAUAAGUUAGAGUUAUCUGGGAAGAAGAGACUCAACUGAGAAAAUUGCCUUCAUCAACCUGGCUUGCAGUAGAAGUAGACCUUCUCUUCCAUUGAUGACUGAUGUGGGUGCUGUCAUCCUUGGGCAGCUGGGUCCAGAGCUGUAAAAGCAAGCAGGCUGGACAAGCCAGGAAGCAUCCCUCCACGGCCUUGGCCUUAUCUCCUGCUCCAGGUUCCCACUUUGACUCCCUGUCCUGACUUCGAUGUGGCUGAACAGCUUUGCCAAGAGUCCUAAUGAGAAGCAGAUCACUCAGAGUCUCCCAUGGAAAGCUGAGACCAAGGUCUGGUGGAGAAACAUCUGCUUCAGGCUAGCAGCUGUACUCUGGAGCGUCUUCUUCAGAAUGUCAACAUAUAAUUUACAAAAGUUAAAAACAGGACUGUCAGCCAGGCGGUGGUAGUGCACUCCUUUAAUCCCAGCACUCAGGAGGCAGAGGCAGGGGCAUCUCUGUCAAUUUGUGGCCAGCUUGGUGUACAGAUUGAGUUCCAGGAUAGCCAAGGAUACGCAGAGAAACCCAGCCUUGAAAACAAAAACCUUAAGCCAAACAAACAAACAAAAAAUCAGUACUGUAAUACCA